rfam:Haemonchus contortus, ISE/inbred ISE, WGS project CAVP01000000 data, contig: Hcontortus_21971
GGCGAGAUGGCCGAGCGGUCUAAGGCGCUGGUUUUAGGCACCAGUCUCUUCGGAGGCGUGGGUUCGAAUCCCACUCUCGUCA